rnacentral:rRNA from 1 species
AGCAGCCGCGGUAAUUCCAGCUCCAAUAGCGUAUAUUAAAGUUGUUGCAGUUAAAAAGCUCGUAGUUGAAUUUCGGGGUCAGUAGGUUGUCGUGCCACUGGUAUGCACUGGUCUCACUGAUUCCUCCUUCCUGAUGAGCCGUAAUGCCAUUAAUUUGGUGUUGCGGGGAAUCUGGACUGUUACUUUGAAAAAUUAGAGUGUUUAAAGCAGGCUAACGCUUGAAUACAUUAGCAUGGAAUAAUGAAAUAGGACGAUCGAUCCUAUUUUGUUGGUUUCUAGGAUUGACGUAAUGAUUAAUAGGGAUAGUUGGGGGCAUUAGUAUUCAAUUGUCAGAGGUGAAAUUCUUGGAUUUAUUGAAGACUAACUACUGCGAAAGCAUUUGCCAAGGAUGUUUUCAUUAAUCAAGAACGAAAGUUAGGGGAUCGAAGACGAUCAGAUACCGUCGUAGUCUUAACCAUAAACUAUGCCGACUAGGGAUCGGAUGAUGUUAAUUUUUAAUGACUCAUUC